CAACGACCAGUAGUCAAGCUGUUUGCAAAACAAUAGGUUUGACAACAUACCUGGACCCAUCAAGUGCCUUUCACUUUCUCCAGGAGAACUGGAAACUCUCUGUACUUUGCUAGCCCAUAUAUGUAUUAAUGUACUGUAUCUGGUAAAACCUAAAACUGUAAUUAUGUACUGCUCUGUGCGGAGUAUUCAUAUCACCCAAUGCAUGUACCUCACCCAGAAUAUAACUGAGUUGUUUAUUCUUACCCAGUACAGCGAAG